GACGAACGCUGGCGGCGUGCUUAACACAUGCAAGUCGAACGGAAAGGCCCUGCUUUUGUGGGGUGCUCGAGUGCCGAACGGGUGAGUAACACGUGAGUAACCUGCCCUUGACUUUGGGAUAACUCCAGGAAACUGGGGCUAAUACCGGAUAGAAGCUCCUGCUCCAUGGGGGGGGUUGGAAAGUUUCGGCGGUGGGGGAUGGACUAGCGGCUUAUCAGCUUGUUGGGGGGGUAGGGGAUUACCAAGGCUUUGACGGGUAGCCGGCCUGAGAGGGUGACCGGCCACAUGGGGACUGAGAUACGGCCCAGACUCCUACGGGAGGCAGCAGUGGGGAAUAUUGCACAAUGGGCGGAAGCCUGAUGCAGCAACGCCGCGUGCGGGAUGACGGCCUUCGGGUUGUAAACCGCUUUCGCCUGUGACGAAGCGUGAGUGACGGUAAUGGGUAAAGAAGCACCGGCUAACUACGUG
rnacentral:rRNA from 1 species